rnacentral:rRNA from 1 species
CUAGCCCUAAACCCAAAUAGUUACAUAACAAAACUAUUCGCCAGAGUACUACUCGCAACUGCCUAAAACUCAAAGGACUUGGCGGUGCUUCACAUCCACCUAGAGGAGCCUGUUCUAUAAUCGAUAAACCCCGAUAGACCUUACCAACCCUUGCCAAUUCAGCCUAUAUACCGCCAUCUUCAGCAAACCCUAAAAAGGAACAAUAGUAAGCACAAUCAUAGCACAUAAAAACGUUAGGUCAAGGUGUAGCUUAUGGGUUGGAAAGAAAUGGGCUACAUUUUCUACAUAAGAAUAUCCACCACACGAAAGUUUUUAUGAAACUAAAAACCAAAGGAGGAUUUAGCAGUAA